CCGCCUGUCACGCGGGUGACCCGGGUUCGAUCCCCGGCAACGGCGUUUUACCACGUUUUCUAAUUUUUUUUUCCCGUUUGCUUAUUUUCUAAACCGAUGGGCGAUUCCGGCGAUCAUGGUUGACGCAGUGGCCCCGUGGACGUCGCCCAGCUCAACGCUGCCUCCUAUCUCGAUCCCCACUAUUGGGACGAGAGGUUCGCGCCGCCGAGGAGGGCUAUGAAUGGUUCAAAUACUACUCCCACUUCCAACACCUCAUCCGCCCCUUCCUCAAUCCACCCCGCUCGGUAUUGGAGAUCGGUUGUGGCAAGCCGCGGCUCUGCAAGGAGCUUCAUAAGGAUGGCGUCGCCGACAUGACCUGCGUCGACAUCUCUCCUGUCGCAGUGGAAAGGAUGCGGAGCCGCUUUCGAGACGAGGGACAUGAAGGAGAUGAGUCUGAGUAGGAUUUCCGCUGCCCUUGCGUUGUUUGUGAAAAUGUCAACUUCGACGGUCUGACAUGAAGGUUUCUAUCUAGUUUUCCUUGCACCGCCAGGCGUCAAGGUGGUUCAGGCCGACAUGCAAGAUCUACCUUUCGGCAGUGAGUCCUGUCUUUCAUUAUUGUGAUCGAGAAAGGCUGAAAUGCUCUUUGGACGUAUAAUUCACUUUUGCAAUCUGUAUCAUAACUGCAUUUUCCUUUUUCUUCCACCUUGCUUGAUUGGUGAUAUUCAUGUCUCAUUAUAUCAAUGUGCUUACU